rnacentral:rRNA from 1 species
GACUCGUCACACUAUCAUUAACUGAAUCCAUAGGUUAAUGAGGCGAACCGGGGGAACUGAAACAUCUAAGUACCCCGAGGAAAAGAAAUCAACCGAGAUUCCCCCAGUAGCGGCGAGCGAACGGGGAGGAGCCCAGAGCCUGAAUCAGCAUGUGUGUUAGUGGAAGCGUCUGGAAAGGCGCGCGAUACAGGGUGACAGCCCCGUACACAAAAGCGCAUGUGCUGUGAGCUCGAUGAGUAGGGCGGGACACGUGGUAUCCUGUCUGAAUAUGGGGGGACCAUCCUCCAAGGCUAAAUACUCCUGACUGACCGAUAGUGAACCAGUACCGUGAGGGAAAGGCGAAAAGAACCCCGGCGAGGGGAGUGAAAAAGAACCUGAAACCGUGUACGUACAAGCAGUGGGAGCACCCUUUGGGGUGUGACUGCGUA